UAGGUAAUACAAUUUUGCUGAGCAAGAAUCCAAUUUUAAUAACACAGACGGCCUCGACAUUAUAAAUAAUUAAAUUGCAAAGAAGCACAUAACUAGUUUGGACUUUGGUAUCUUUUCUGAAGAGGAAUUGAAUAUAGUUGGACGCAUUUAACAGAGUUUACACACAUAUUUUGCCCGUGUCUUAUUCUAAACAAUUGAAUCAAAAGCCACCUCCAGCUGUCAUCACACAUAUCAUUUGUGAAGUCGUAACUAAUGUACAAGAUUUUUUGACAAACGCGUCACCUGUCAGAAUGGUCGGCAUGAGCAUGAGCUGUGAAAAGAUAUGUAUUGAAGAUAUUGCUGAUAGGCUGUUAAAAGUAUCGGGGUGUCCUACAACUGUUUACUGGUCGUCAAACCCGCUCCCACACAAGGAACUUACUUCUCAACGAGGAACAACAAACUUCUUUGAAAGAAAACCAAGCGAACACCAAUUACAUUCAGUUGCACUCUGAAUCGUAUUUGUGAAUAAAAUUAUUUGUCAAUGACUUAUUCGUCAUUAUAAGAAUACUUUAUUUUAAAAAUGUAAUGUAUUUCAAUUCUAAAUAAAUUAUACUAUCAUACUUUUCAUA